GCAAGUCGAACGAAGUAGCAAUACUUAGUGGCAGACGGGUGAGUAACAUGUAGGUAUCUGCCCUUUGGCCUGGAAUAACACGAGGAAACUUGUGCUAAUACCGGAUAAGUCUUUACGGAGAAAGCUUUAUGCACCAUUGGAUGAGCCUGCACUUGAUUAGUUUGUUGGUGGGGUAAUGGCCUACCAAGACUGUGAUCAAUAGCUGAUUUGAGAGGAUGAUCAGCCACAUUGGGACUGAGACACGGCCCAAACUCCUACGGGAGGCAGCAGUGGGGAAUCUUGCACAAUGGAGGAAACUCUGAUGCAGCGAUGCCGCGUGAGUGAAGAAGGCCCUUGGGUUGUAAAGCUCUUUCGUCGGGGAAGAAAAUGACUGUACCCGAAUAAGAAGGUCCGGCUAACUUCGUGCCAGCAGCCGCGGUAAUACGAAGGGACCUAGCGUAGUUCGGAAUUACUGGGCUUAAAGAGUUCGUAGGUGGUUGAAAAAGUUAGUGGUGAAAUCCCAGAGCUUAACUCUGGAACUGCCAUUAAAACUUUUCAGCUAGAGUAUGAUAGAGGAAAGCAGAAUUUCUAGUGUAGAGGUGAAAUUCGUAGAUAUUAGAAAGAAUACCAAUUGCGAAGGCAGCUUUCUGGAUCAUUACUGACACUGAGGAACGAAAGCAUGGGUAGCGAAGAGGAUUAGAUACCCUCGUAGUCCAUGCCGUAAACGAUGUGUGUUAGACGUUGGAAAUUUAUUUUCAGUGUCGCAGCGAAAGCGAUAAACACACCGCCUGGGGAGUACGACCGCAAGGUUAAAACUCAAAUGAAUUGACGGGGACCCGCACAAGUAGUGGAGCAUGUGGUUUAAUUCGAAGAUACGCGCAGAACCUUACCAACACUUGACAUGUUCGUCGCGACUCUAAGAGAUUAGAGUUUUCGGUUCGGCCGGACGAAACACAGGUGCUGCAUGGCUGUCGUCAGCUCGUGUCGUGAGAUGUUGGGUUAAGUCCCGCAACGAGCGCAACCCUCACUUUUAGUUGCCAUCAUUAAGUUGGGCACUCUGAAAGAACUGCCAGUGAUAAGCUGGAGGAAGGUGGGGAUGACGUCAAGUCCUCAUGGCCCUUACGUGUUGGGCUACACACGUGCUACAAUGGUAUCUACAACAGGAAGCAAGACUGCGAAGUUAAGCAAAUCCCUAAAAGAUACCUCAGUUCGGAUUGCACUCUGCAACUCGAGUGCAUGAAGCUGGAAUUACUAGUAAUCGUGGAUCAGCGUGCCACGGUGAAUGCGUUCCCGGGUCUUGUACACACCGCCCGUCACACCAUGGGAGUUGGUUCUACCUUAAGGC
rnacentral:rRNA from 1 species